AUUGAACGCUGGCGGCAUGCCUUACACAUGCAAGUCGAACGGCAGCACGGGGGCAACCCUGGUGGCGAGUGGCGAACGGGUGAGUAAUGCAUCGGAAUGUACCCAGUAGUGGGGAUAACUAGUCGAAAGACUGGCUAAUACCGCAUACGCACUAUGGUGGAAAGCGGGGGAUCGCAAGACCUCGCGCUAUUGGAGCAGCCGAUGUCCGAUUAGGUAGUUGGUGGGGUAAAAGGCCUACCAAGCCUGCGAUCGGUAACUGGUCUGAGAGGACGACCAGUCACACUGGGACUGAGACACGGCCCAGACUCCUACGGGAGGCAGCAGUGGGGAAUUUUGGACAAUAGGGCGCAAGCCUGAUCCAGCAAUGCCGCGUGUGUGAAGAAGGCCUUCGGGUUGUAAGCACUUUGUCAGGAACGAACAGUGUCGCUAAUACGGACGCGAAUGACGGUACC
rnacentral:rRNA from 1 species